GCCCGCAUAGCUCAGUCGGUAGAGCAUCAGACUUUUAAGAACUGUCGAAUAAUAUGAAAUCUGAGGGUCGCGGGUUCAAGUCCCUCUGCGGGCG
rfam:Octopus bimaculoides Scaffold302825_contig_1, whole genome shotgun sequence.